rnacentral:rRNA from 1 species
AGUGAACGCUGGCGGUAGGCCUAACACAUGCAAGUCGAACGGCAGCACAGUAAGAGCUUGCUCUUACGGGUGGCGAGUGGCGGACGGGUGAGGAAUACAUCGGAAUCUACUUUUUCGUGGGGGAUAACGUAGGGAAACUUACGCUAAUACCGCAUCCGACCUACGGGUGAAAGCAGGGGAUCUUUGGACCUUGCGCGAUUGAAUGAGCCGAUGUCGGAUUAGCUAGUUGGCGGGGUAAAGGCCCACCAAGGCGACGAUCCGUAGCUGGUCUGAGAGGAUGAUCGGCCGCACUGGAACUUGGACACGGUCCAGACUCCUACGGGAGGCAGCAGUGGGGAAUGCUGGACAAUGGGCGCAAGCCUGAUCCAGCCAUACCGCGUGGGUGAAGAAGGCCUUCGGGUUGUAAAGCCCUUUUGUUGGGAAAGAAAAGCAGCAGGUUGAUACCCCGCUGUUCUGACGGUACCCAAAGAAUAAGCACCGGCUAACUUCGUG